UUAAAAAAAAAAAAAAAAAAACUCCCUUUCUUUUCAUUAGUUCAAUUUUUCAUAUAAAUCAUUUUGCUACGAAAAUAAGUUAAUACCGUACAAUCAGUUAUAACUAAUCAUUGAUUAUUCAUUUGUAGGAACGUUGCUACCCUUUAAACACCACUUCGAAGGUGAUGGACAGUUGCUGUACUUCCACAAUUACUAACUGCAUUUAGAAGGUGGAAGCAACUUACCUGAAGUGAUUUAAAGUGGAGGAGGUAUGCUGAGGUGAUCUCCAACGAGCUGAAGGACCUAUUGUGGAGGAGGUCAUUUGAAGCAGGUGAGGUCAUAUUUCUCAUUUGCCCUAAGAUCUUCUUUGUAACACAUUCUAAAAAUGCUUGUUUUUGAAGAUUGAUUUUGGGUGCCCUAAGUUGGGUAUUUGGGAUUAGGGUUGUUUUGUAGGUCUGGACGAAGCAUUAUUGCAUCCUUCCUCCACCCAAUGUCAAUGAAUCAGUGUUCGUCUUGCUCAUGGGGGACCUCGUGUGGUGGUUCGUCAAGAGGAAUGGGUGGCAGCCAUGUGUGCUAUUGUGGAGAGGUUGCCAUAUUAAGAGUGCCAAAAACUGCUAAGAAUGAGGGCAGAUAUUUUUGGGGUUGCCCUAAUUACAAGCGUACUCGAAACGAAGAAGUGCGAGGUUGUGAUUACUUCAAAUGGCACACUGAAGAUUAUAUGGAUGAAAGGGAUAAUACAAUUGGAUGGCAAAGGAGAAAGAUUCUUACUUUGGAAAAAUCAAUUUUAGUUUAUCAAAAAAGGGAGAAGGUGUU